GGGUACGAGGUUCUCUCACUCGCCGACGCUCACGGUCUCCGACCCCGGCCAGCGGASCUGGASUCCCCAUGAGACACGAGCCCCCCGAAUAAUUGACCUGGUCCUUGGUGGGAAUCCCCCUUGAACUUCUSAUGGCAGAAAGUGGGGGGARGGAAAACCAACAGGAAGUGCCCCUGUAACGGCGGGGGCAGCGGCAACAGAUCAGAAUUUGUAAUCCUGGCCCCCCGGGCSCGAGUGGUAAUGGUUAGAGGAUGUUUCUGGCGAGGAGCCGUCCGAGUUCCGCGGAACGGGACGCCGGAGAGGGUGCGARCCCCGUACAGGCGGACGCCGAGCGUAUGUGAAGCUCCUUCGACGAGUCGAGUAGUUUGGGAAUGCUGCUCAAAGCGGGAGGUAAAUUUCUUCUAAAGCUAAAUACCGGCCAGAGACCGAUAGCGCACAAGUAGAGUGAUCGARAGAUGAAAAGCACUUUGAAAAGAGGGUUAAACAGCACGUGAAAUUGUUGAAAGGGAAGCGCCUGUGACCAGACUCGCGCCCGGCGGAUCAUCCGGCGUUCUCGCCGGUGCACUCCGCCGGGCUCGGGCCAGCAUCGG
rnacentral:rRNA from 1 species